rnacentral:rRNA from 1 species
AUUGAACGCUGGCGGCAGGCCUAACACAUGCAAGUCGAACGAGUGGCGGACGGGUGAGUAAUGUCUGGGAAACUGCCUGAUGGAGGGGGAUAACUACUGGAAACGGUAGCUAAUACCGCAUACCAUCAGAUGUGCCCAGAUGGGAUUAGCUAGUUGGUGGGGUAACGGCUCACCAAGGCGACGAUCCCUAGCUGGUCUGAGAGGAUGACCAGCCACACUGGAACUGAGACACGGUCCAGACGCCUACGGGAGGCAGCAGUGGGUAAUAUUGCACUAUGGACGCGAGCCUGAUGCAGCCCUCCGGCGUAUAUAAAGAAGGCCUUCGGGUUGUAAAGUACUUUCAGCGAGGAGGCGUUACCCGCAGAAGAAGCACCGGCUAACUCCGUGCCAGCAGCCGCGGUAAUUC